rnacentral:rRNA from 1 species
CUGGCUCAGAACGAACGCUGGUGGCGUGUUUUAUACAUGCAAGUCGAGCGAGGACGGUAGCAAUACCGAGCCGAGCGGCGAACGGGUGAGUAACGCGUAAGCAAUCUGCCCCACAAUCGGGAACAACCGUGCCAACGCGCGGCUAAUGCCGGAUAUUGUAGUCUACUGCAUAGUAGGCCAACGAAAGAUUUAUUGUUGUGGGAUGAGCUUGCGUCCGAUUAGCUAGUUGGCGGGGUAAUAGCCCACCAAGGCGACGAUCGGUAGCCGGCCUGAGAGGGUGAUCGGCCACAUUGGGACUGAGAUACGGCCCAGACUCCUACGGGAGGCAGCAGUAGGGAAUAUUGCGCAAUGGGGGGAACCCUGACGCAAGCAACGCCACGUGUGGGAAGAAGCAUUUCGGUGUGUAAACCACUGUCGGAAAGGAAUAACGGAAGACUUCGGUCUUUAUGAAUGUACUUUUAGAGGAAGCACCGGCAAACUUCGUGCCAGCCGCCGC